GUGAGAUCAUGACCUGAGCCGAAGUUGGAUGCUUAAACGACUGAGCCACCCAGUCGCCCCCCAGAAAGCAUCUCUUAUUGCCUAUCACUCCCCACGUUGGUCCCCAAGUGAUCUCUCUAUGUUCCUGUAGGCUGGCCUUCCCUAACCUACACUGUACCUGUCCUAAAAUGGGCAUUCAGGAAUUGGUUUUGAUGCUUGAUACACAUGGGCAAAGGGAACAUAAUUAUCUUUCACUCUCUACCAAAUUAAUUUGUACCAUGUUGCUGUCUGCAUUUGAUUGAGCGACAGAAACUUACUGGAAAGGUGAAGAGUGCUGCCACAUAAGGCUGCUCUCAUCCUAAAAUGCCAGGGGAGGGUCCUCCUUUCUCCACCCCUGUCCCCAAGGAGCUGAUUCCCCAGUCAGAACAGAGCUGAAGAAUCUAUUAGCAGGUGCUAGGACCACGGGAGACCACGGGAGUCUGUUAGCCCACCCUUGGGAUGUUGGCCUUCCCAUGGGAUGUUGGGGUGGCAUCUAGGUAAGAUUGGCUCUUCCGCAAGGGACUGUUUUGAAGUUUGUCCAUAGAAAAAAACCAAUGUACAAUUCCUUGCAUGUCACAGGCACUUGCAUAACUGGAGUGAAAGGACAAGAGCUGGGGGUGCCCAUAAGAGCUUGCCAGCUGCCGACACAAGCGACAAGGAGAGGUAUGGAGCCUCCUACAGACGGUUGGUGACAGAGUUGAUUCAUCUGGGGAAGGGCCACCAGGUGCCACAAGGAGGCGGAGCGCUGAGUCUCUUCUAUGGCUGGAAGGAAUGCAGAGUGGUACAACCGACAGCAAACAGGUGGAAGGUAUCUUUAAAAGUGAAACAUUCAACUACCAGAUGACUCAGCCAUCCCUCUCCUGGAUAUUUGACCCAGAGAAGUGAAAACUCGAGUCCACACAAAAAACCAGUGCGUGAAUGUUUCGAGCAGCUCUAUCCAUGACUGUCCUGAACUGAAAGAACCCAAGUGUCCUUCAGUGGGUGCACGGAUAAGCAAAUGGUGGUGUAGCCAGACAGUGGAACGAACCACUUAGCACUAAAAGGAAAUAAACCGUGAUGCUCACAGUAACCGGGGCGAAUUUCAGAGACCUUUUGCUGAGUGGAAGAAGAAAGUGUCAAAAGGUUAAAGACUGGAUGCUUCCAUUUAGGUGUCGUUUUUGAAGAGAUAAAUACGAUAGACCUGUGGUUGUCGGUGGUUAGGAGCCAGGGGAAGAAGUGACUAUAACUGUUGUUUAUCUUGAUCGUGGUGGUGGUUACAGGAAUCCAUGAGUGUUAAAAUUCACAGAACUGUUUAGUCCUCCCUGAAAAAGUUCCUUUUUAUUGUAUGAUCGUUUUAAAAAUAAAAAAAAAUGAA